AGACGCCAAAUAGUAUUUCGUCACGUGAUUCAUGAAAACGUCAAGGUGUGUUUUGUAGCACGAGAGUGGCGCAAAAGGUUUUUCCUAUGAACUGGCAGAGGCAUGAAGUGGUUCUUCUGUAAUUAGCGACCUGGAUGAAAACAUAAAGAAACAUUUCGUAAUUUCCAGAGAACAACUGUCGAAACCAAGACGAAGAUCUAUUUAGCGGUAGGAGAAUGGAGAUUGAGAAGAGGACAAAUGGAUUUGAGUACACUGACCAGGGCAAGUCAAUUAAUGGCUUCUAUGCAGACCACGGUCUCCAUGCUGAACCGAGCGAUGGGAUGGAGUUCAACCAAUGACAUCAUUGAGCCUGCUGUCUGAUCUAAAAAAUGAAUGGAGUCAUGUUUUGUAGCAAUUGUGACCAGCUGGACCAGGACUCAGGAGGGAAAAUGAAAAACGAACAAUACCACUUAGAUACAAAGAAGUUGAUGACUCUCAAGAGGAGAUGUGAAAGGUCCCAUAAUAAACUCUCCCCUUCUAUCAAAGUGUCUCCACACACCUCACUACACCACCCAAACACACCAUAUGCAAGUAUUCCCUUUGUAGAACUAUAGUAUUUAUUAUUAUAAGAGUUAGUAGUAUCUUUCUCUUCUACUGUAUAUAUGUCAUACAUUGC
rnacentral:lncRNA from 1 species